rnacentral:rRNA from 1 species
UACGGGGGGGGCAAGCGUUGUUCGGAAUUACUGGGCGUAAAGGGCUCGUAGGUGGCCAACUAAGUCAGACGUGAAAUCCCUCGGCUUAACCGGGGAACUGCGUCUGAUACUGGAUGGCUUGAGUUUGGGAGAGGGACGCGGAAUUCCAGGUGUAGCGGUGAAAUGCGUAGAUAUCUGGAGGAACACCGGUGGCGAAGGCGGUUCUCUGGGCCUGACCUGACGCUGAGGAGCGAAAGCGUGGGGAGCGAACAGG